CACGUAGGGGGCAAGCGUUGUCCGGAUUUAUUGGGCGUAAAGGGCGCGUAGGCGGCCAGCACAAGUCAGUUGUGAAAUCUCCGGGCUUAACUCGGAAAGGUCAACUGAUACUGUGCGGCUAGAGUGCAGAAGGGGCAACUGGAAUUCUCGGUGUAGCGGUGAAAUGCGUAGAUAUCGAGAGGAACACCUGCGGCGAAGGCGGGUUGCUGGGCUGACACUGACGCUGAUGCGCGAAAGCCAGGGGAGCGAACGGG
rnacentral:rRNA from 1 species